UACGUAGGCAGCAAGCGUUGUUCGGAAUUACUGGGCGUAAAGAGUGUGUAGGCGGUGCUCUAAGUUCGUUGUGAAAUCUCCCGGCUUAACUGGGAGGGUGCGGCGGAAACUGGAGUGCUCGAGCGUGGGAGAGGAAAGCGGAAUUCCUGGUGUAGCGGUGAAAUGCGUAGAUAUCAGGAGGAACACCUGUGGUGUAGACAGCUUUCUGGACCAUAGCCGACGCUGAGACACGAAAGCGUAGGUAGCAAACAGG
rnacentral:rRNA from 1 species